AGGGACUAUCUGAUUCAUUGAGCCAGCAGAUCAGUAAUUUAUCCCAAAGCUUGAAAAUUUUUAAGAAGAGGUAGCUUGGGAUAGCUAAGGUGCUUGAUCAGUUGAAAGGAGAAGCUACUAAAAUUCUUCGACAAGCUGAGGAGAUCAUGAUUUCUCAGCAGGCCGGCGUAGAGAUUUUUAUCACUACACUUCACCGAGUUUAAGAGCAUUUGGAUCAGAUUUGAUCUCAGAUUUCACCACCCUCCACCCAGCCC
rnacentral:lncRNA from 1 species